UGGGGAAUAUUGCACAAUGGUCGCAAGCCUUAUGCAGCCAUGCCGCGUGUAUGAAGAAGGCCUUCGGGUUGUAAAGUACUUUCAGCGAGGAGGAAGGCAUUAAGGUUAAUAACCUUUGUGAUUGACGUUACUCGCAGAAGAAGCACCGGCUAACUCCGUGCCAGCAGCCGCGGUAAUACGGAGGGUGCAAGCGUUAAUCGGAAUUACUGGGCGUAAAGCGCACGCAGGCGGUUUGUUAAGUCAGAUGUGAAAUCCCCGGGCUCAACCUGGGAACUGCAUUUGAAACUGGCAAGCUUGAGACUAGUAGAGGGGGGUAGAAUUCCAGGUGUAGCGGUGAAAUGCGUAGAGAUAUGGGGGAAGACCGGUGGCGAAAGCGGGCCCCUGGACAAAGACUGACGCUCAGGUGCGAGAGCGUGUGGAGCAAACA
rnacentral:rRNA from 1 species